GGCUGCGCGACUUGACUUUGGCCCGACAGCCGCGCUUUAUUUUUCCAGCGCGACGUCUUCGUUUUCCCUUAACUACGCACGAUCUGCGCACUAGAAUUCAACGCGUAAACGAGUAUGGAACAAACGGCGCAACGUUCGAUUAAAUUGUAAUUAUCACGCAGAUAGCUGCGAUUCCAGUGCUGAGUGUUACGGCAGCGCCCUGCAAAAGUUAUGUCACUAAUGCAACUAGUGCAACGCCGCCUUGUGUAACUAAAAGCACGAAAAGAAAUCAAACUCGAUGCGUCUUAUGAAACGUGAGCCGAAGAAUCGGAGGAAUAUUUAUCUAUUUCCUUUAUUUAGGAAAUUGAUGUUACUCUCGUUUAAUCGUCAGAAAUAUCGUUAAAGAAUCGCUCACAUACAUCGUCGGACGGUUGCCUAUCGGUAAUAUUCAUAUUAGCACGUCACUACAGACAUUGGCACCUAAACGAAUUAUUAAAAUUAAUUAUAAUUACGUUCAACGAUACGAUAACUCGUAUAAACUUAUCGUGGAAGAACAUUUAUAAGCAGUCGAAUUGGCACACUGAUCAACCAAUGGUUGAACUAAAUCACACAAAACACCUAUGAAUUAAAGAAAGUUGUUUCUGUCGUAUUCUAGUUUAGCGACGGAAUAACGCGUGAGCACUGAACUUUGAAGUCACUUGAAAGCACUUCGUAACUGUUAAGACACUGAUAUUCGCUGAUCCAUCGUUGUACGGUCGAGACCCGACGAUGGACUGAACUCCAUGGAAUUGUAGUAGGGAGGCUUCCGUGAAGUUCCAAACGAUACGUAAAAAACAUAAAAGACUAGAAAAAUAAUUCUGAGGGUUGUAACCUAUCCGUGUUGCAUAUAUCGGAUGAUUACGUUAUGAAGCACUUGAUCGGAUAAGCGAGACCAAGCUCCACCUGCAUAGAUCGGAUAACUGGACCGCCAGACAGGCGCCAUCGCUUGCAUCCUGUUUAUCACGGUUGCCAGAAGUACGGACAGCAGAGAGGGGUUUUGACGUAGCAAACAAUAACAGAGGGAGAACAGACUAGUUCUUACCGAGGAGUCGGCGUCGAUUGGCGUUAGCGUCGGUUGGUGGCUCCAACUCUUUCAAAGCACGAAGCGAAUCGCGCAUAUCAACAGCAAUCACGUAGAUAGACGCUUGUUGAUUGCGAGGUGACAAUAAUUUUGUAUAGUUUUGUCGAAUUUUGAAAUUCCGAUAUAAACAAGGAAUCAGGCAGUGAUGGCGUGCCAGUACAGCUGAAAGAAGCUUUGCUAUAGAAAAUGAGUCGAGUAAGACAUAUUAUGUGUUUAAUACUUUUGCAUCGGUUUAAAUCAUUAUAAUAUCUUAAAUCAAUUAAUGACGAGUAUUUUACAAAUGGACAGUGGUAGUAGCAUGCUGUCUCCUGCUACAAGGAAAAUUUCUAAAAAACAGGCAUUCCGUAAUGACCAGUAUGAAACUUAGGAUACAGCUUGCAGCGGUAUCCUCGUAGCAGAUAGAUGUGGGCUGCUGAAGCACAAUAAAAGAAUAACCUAUUUAGUAAAUGUAUGGGCAAGAAGUCUGAAAGAGGUAAGACAUGGAGCAGAAGGUCCAACAACCUGUUCUCUGGAGAACAAUGUAAAAAAAGCGGAAUUGAGAGUUUCCACAAACGUUGUUGAGCACAGCAGAAGUUUCUAUUUAUUCGGACAUUUUUCCAUUUCAUAUUCAACAUUGGGAAAUCAACAAUAGCGUAAAAUAUUUGGCUCAAAAGAAACAAAAUAUCUUUCUCUGAAUUGAUAGAUGAAAGAGAGACGUCAGAAGUCAAAAGUAAAAAAGGCUACGCCGGAAAACUUGUACCAAUGUUUUCUACGCUUUUUAAUAAUAAACUAUUGAUUUAAUUGCUAAAGAAAAAUACUAAAUUCAAACGCCAGUUUUACAACGACCACUCCUAACAACAUUCUCAUACAUAUAGUAUAAUGUAUAAUAAUAACGUAUAAUAUAUAGUAUAAUGCCAUUCUUACAGCACCGGAAGCUGUUAAAAACGAUCGGUAUAAAACAGCUGUCGUAUUUAGCAACUCUAGCAACAGUAACAAUGAUACUCGUAACAAUUAUCUAGUAUCAACUUUGUUAUAAGAGACAUACUCGAAUUAUACACAGGUUUAUCAGCAGCAAAUUACUAUAAUAUCGUAUAGUCCAUCGAGGAAUAUCGAGUAACGAAGCUGCAGACAACGUAGCCAAAGAAGCGGUAAAUAUCCAACCUUCGAUCACAUCAACAUCGCAUCAAGAUUUUAAAAGAAUCAUACAGCACACGUCAAACAAGCGUGGAACCACAAGUGGAAGGUUGAAAAAUCAAUUAGAUCGAGCAACAGCUCAAACAAUUUUCUUCAUGACGCGAUAGUAAGAUCCUUGAAUGGCAGAAACCGAAUCAUUCUAAACAGGAUCCACAUUGGCCAUAUUGAGGUUGAGGUUGAUCGAUUGAAGAACAAAUGGAUGAAUUUGUAAUAGAAAAGUAUAUUGAAAUAAUUAAAGGUA